AGCUGACACCCCACCCACGUCAAAAAAUUCAGCAAAUAGUCUGAGUGGUUAGUGCUCCGUUAGUGCAGGUUUGUACCGUUAAAACGGUCGUUUGUGCAGCUUUGGUUUCUGAAAUAUUAAAAAUUAUAAUUAUGGCCGAUGACUUCACCAUCCCCCCAUGUUGCUCCAAAACAAACCAAACUGGGCUACUGCUCAUUAUGAGAUAUUACAUAAUUUUCUUUCGUACGCCAACUGACUUCCCCUAAAUUGAUGACUGUGGCCUGCUUUGGACAUAACCGCAAAGCAAGCAGUUAUUAAUUUCGUAUGUUAUUGUGUAAGUUAAAUUCUGCAGAUUUUCAGCUGUUGUACAAUGUGUACCUUCUUUUGUUUUGAACUUCAAUAAAGAUUUAGAACAAGAAGAAA